AUUGAACGCUGGCGGCAUGCUUUACACAUGCAAGUCGAACGGCAGCGCGGGGCAACCUGGCGGCGAGUGGCGAACGGGUGGGUAAUACAUCGGAACGUACCCAGAAGUGGGGGAUAACGUAGCGAAAGUUACGCUAAUACCGCAUACGUUCUACGGAAGAAAGUGGGGGACCGCAAGGCCUCAUGCUUUUGGAGCGGCCGAUGUCUGAUUAGCUAGUUGGUGAGGUAAAGGCUCACCAAGGCGACGAUCAGUAGCUGGUCUGAGAGGACGACCAGCCACACUGGGACUGAGACACGGCCCAGACUCCUACGGGAGGCAGCAGUGGGGAAUUUUGGACAAUGGGCGCAAGCCUGAUCCAGCAAUGCCGCGUGAGUGAAGAAGGCCUUCGGGUUGUAAAGCUCUUUUGUCAGGGAAGAAACGGCUGAGGUUAAUACCUUCGGCUAAUGACGGUACCUGAAGAAUAAGCACCGGCUAACUACGUGCCAGCAGCCGCGGUAA
rnacentral:rRNA from 1 species